GAUGAACGCUGGCGGCGUGUUUAACACAUGCAAGUCGAGCGAGAAAUCCUUCGGUUGAUUCUUCGGAAGAAAACUGAAAGAUGGAAAGCGGCGGACGGGUGAGUAACGCGUAGGCAACCUGCCCUUUGCAGAGGGAUAGCCUCGGGAAACCGGGAUUAAAACCUCAUAAUACGAAAGCAAGACAUCUUACUUUCGUCAAAGAUUUAUCGGCAAAGGAUGGGCCUGCGUCUGAUUAGUUAGUUGGUAGGGUAACGGCCUACCAAGGCGACGAUCAGUGGCCGACCUGAGAGGGUGAUCGGCCACAUUGGAACUGAGACACGGUCCAAACUCCUACGGGAGGCAGCAGUGGAGAAUCUUGCACAAUGGGGGAAACCCUGAUGCAGCAACGCCGCGUGAAGGAAGAAGGCCCUUGGGUCGUAAACUUCUGUUCUAAGGGAAGAUAAUGACGGUACCUUAGGAGCAAGUCCCGGCUAACUACGUGCCAGCCGCCGCCGUAAUAC
rnacentral:rRNA from 1 species